UUUCCCCUUUCUUAUUUCUGGGUAUGAAAUAUGACUGAGGUUUUGGGUAUUUUGGUUGGGUAGGUAUAGAUUUAGAUAUUUGCUUUGAUGUUUUGGGAUUUUCUGUUACGGUUUGUAGAUUUCAGAAUAGCGUUGUUAAUUUUCCUCUUUCAGAUUCUCUCUCUGUUGUGUAAUUUACCAUUUUCUGCCAUCUUCAAUUCGGCCCACUUUAUUACUGUAUGCAUGUUCCGUUCCUAACCAACGAUAGAGGAAAAAAGAAAAUCCAAAAGCGCAAACCAAUUUUGCCUCUUCAGAAAUUGAACAGACCUCUUCUCUUUAAUCAACAACCAAUAGCAUCUCUUACAAUCUAACCCAUCUUAGCUUAGAAUAGAAAAAAAGAGAGAGAGGUUAUUAUGCAUUCUAGAAUAGCCGCUAAAGAGAGAGAAAUCUCAGGGUCAGCGAGUUUUUUUGGUCCAGCAUAUAGAGAGAGAGAAAUCUGAAGGACACUGCCACUGUCAGGCCAGCCUCCUGCACCAUAAGACUAAAAAAUUUCAAUGAUGGGGGUUAUUCAACAAUGAAAUGGGCCACAAUAGCUUUUAUUGGUAAGCUAAUAUAAUCUUGGAUUCCUACGAUAUAUGUUUCGUUGCUUGCUGCUGUGUCUAUGGUGUUACUAAAUGGGACCUGAUAUGAAUUUUUGGGUUUCUUUGAAUGCAGAUGAAAAUUUGCAUUGUUCUAUAUAUGUUAUUUUGAUAUUCUAUAUAUUUGUUUUUAUUGCAUUCCACAUGUUCAAUGAAAUCCCUUUUAGACUUAAUUAGUGAUGAUUGGAUUCAAUUUUUCCCGCCCUCAUACCAUGAUAAAUCUAAAUGAUUUAUUCAUUUAUGAACAAUGAAUUUGAACUAAAAAUUUCGAGGAUGAAGUCUAGAAGAUAUCAACAUGGUGGAAAAAAUGAAUUAUGAAACAAAUGUGAGGCAAUUGGUAGUAUUACAUAGCAUGUACAUAUUUUUUUUCAUGGCUAUGCAAUUGAUUGGGAGGCUCUUAAAUACUACCCCACAGCCCCACUACCAAAUACACAUCUAUAUCCUGGAAUCCAUGGGCCCUAACUUUGAUAAUGACCCAUGUAAAAUUUGGAUGACAAAGAAAAGAAUUUGAGUGAAUGGAAUUAUUGAAAUUUAAACUUUAGCACAAAAUCAGAGUAAAAGAAUGCUAUUAGUCUUAUUUUAUUGGUUCCUUCUUGAUGAGAAGCAAAUGUAGAAGCCACAGAAACAGUUUCAUUCUUGGUCUACACCAUUGAGAGAUCAGCAAAAUCUUAAGCAACUUGGAGUCAACAAGCCUACAGCUCUUGCUUUUAUGCUCUUUGCUUUCAUGUGGAUGGUGGCACUGACAAAUUGUUACUUUCUAAUUGGAAGAGUUAAGAGUUCCAAUAUGGAAUAUAGCACUAACGCAGAAGAUUAACCUCAAGUCGAACAGUGAACCUGUCAAGGUGAAUGGUGAUGUUUCAAUUCAUCCGAGUGAAAUAGAGCUGGCACUUCAGUGCAUCAUGGACAGAAUAUGGCUAAUCUAACUAAAUUGUUUUUUGGUUAAAGAGAUCUUAGACUUAAUUUUCUGCUAUUGGGGAAUUUUGAACUUUUGGCAUUGCUAUUGAACCUGACUCUAUAUUACACAAUUGUCAUUUUUGUUUUUUGAAGUGAUUGACAUUAGCAAGCCUUUAUUAAAAAUAUUAACUGUUGUACAUCAUGCUGAGUGCCUUAAAUAUUGUUAGAAGCUUUUGGAACUUCAGAAAAAGAUGGGAACAUGUUUAUAGGCUUUAAUAUUUUCACCCAAUAUACGGUCAAGAGUGUAAAAAGUAUACUUACAAGUAGAACAAAUGAUGGACGCACUGCAUUACCCAAAUGAAUUUCAAUGAAUUUUAUUGUAUUGUUAUGUUAAAUUGAUGGUAUUUUAAAUAUGUUAAAUGUUCCCGCACAUUGUGCGGGUUAAAUGUUAGUAUAUAUAAUGAAGAAAGUUCUUCACAGACACCGGAAGCAACAAAGUGCAACAAAGUAUCCUGAUCCCGUUGUAACUAUAUGAAAAAAAAAGCUAGCUUUAUUUUAUUCAGCAAAAAAUAAAAAACAGAUAACUAUGUAUUUCAUUGCACCUCUAAAUAAUACAACAAUAGUAGAAUCUUACACCAAGUGAAACUUCAAUCUAAGAAAUUAUUUUAUUACAUUCUUUGCAAUCAUGAUUUCGUAACUAGGGUAUUAUUUUCAUGUCUCUUAAUCGUCCCACCCACAUGCCAAUACUCUUCAAUGUAUUGGCAUACCCAAAAAAUCCAAACUCACGACUCUUGUUCAUGCUACAAACAUGUUGAAAAUCAAAAUGCAAAGCUAAAUUGCAUGCCUCUGGACAAACAAUUUCCUCCAUGUUGGUCUUAUAGAGCCCAUACUUUUCAACGAUCUCAUCCCACACCCUUCCCUUCUUCUUCAUCAUCCCAACCCAAUCAAACUUUUCAUUCUCAUCAAAUGGCACAAACUCAACAUCAAAGACCUCACAACACACCUUCCAUAAGCUCUUCCACGUAUAAACAUCACCAUUGGUGCAAUUAAAGGCUUGGUUCUUGGCUCUUUCCGUUACCGCAGCCCAAAUUUGUUGCUCCGCUAACACACGUGCAUCUGACAUGUCGCAGAAAUUCUCCCAUGUGUAUUUUGUACCUGUUAGAAUUUUUAUUAAGUGAUUAAAUUCAUCAUUUCCUAAUACCACAAAUUUAUCAUGAUAUUAAAUCAAAAAGUCAUGAGUUUGAUCUCUAUUUAUAUUUUGCAUCUCAUUUAAAUUGUUAAAAAUCUCAUGUGCUGUGCUCUAUUUAUUAAGGGAGAGUAUUAGAAUUAUAAUUAAAUACCUGGAUACCGAAAGGGCAAGCCUUGGUAUUUACAGAUAGUAGCAUACACGCAUAGAGUCAGCAAUACAUUGUAGAAGCUCCUUGAGGAUGCACCAACUAUUCUAGAAGAACGGUGCACAGAAUAUGAGAGUGAUGGUGAGUAUGAAGCCAAAAGGUCUUCUAGAGCAUAAUAGAAGUUAGGGUAGGGUAGUCGAGGCAUGUCCUCAUGAAAUGGAGGUUCAUGAUGCACAAGUUGGGCUCCAAGAA